rnacentral:rRNA from 1 species
AUGGCGGAGGCCAUGCCGCUGUCUGCGGCCGGCGACUGCGUCGUGUCACCGUUGAGGCCGCCGUUCCCCGUCAAGGCCGAGCCGGCGCCGACCCCCACUGAGCCCAUCGAGCGCUGCUCUUGGACCGGGGUGGUGCGCGUUAGCACGCCGCCGGUCUGGCUGGGGGCGUCAGCGGAGCAAGAGCAGGCGUGCUUCGAGCAAUGGUACCAGCAAAGGCUGGCUGAGGAGCACCGUGAGGGGGAGUACCUCGAAAUGCUGGAGCGCGACGCCGAGGAGGAGCGCCGCGAGGCGGAGGAGGAGGAGGAGUGUCGUGCUCGCGCUGGUCCAGCCCAGCCGGCAGCGGACAACGUCGCUAGAGCCUGGUCGACGGCAUUCCUGUGGGCUGGCCCGGCGCCGACGCUCAUCACCUCACCGGCCCCGACGCCGCCGCCGCCUUGGGCAACGCACCUCCUAAUAGUGUGUAGUUUUAUUUAA